UUAAAAGUUGAUGUGACGUUUUCAUUGUUGUCGCUUUUCGUUGCUAUGAUGACCACUUUGGCAACGAUUACCAUAGCAACGGUUAAAUAUUAAUGAGUAAAAUUUGUAAAAAUAUUGAUUAAUUAAAUUGUCGAUAAUAAACAUUAUGACAGAAGCGCGCAAAGCGCGUUCAAAUUCAAAAAUU